GUAGGAAGGAGACUGGAUGUGACCCAAGGAAAGUUCUAGAAGCUCUAGAAGUUCUAGAAGGGGAGAGUCCUCUCGGCCUGGGGAGACCAGCUGCUUCCCGGAGGACGCAGGAUGAGCCCUGAGCCUGCUUUCAUUCUAAUUCUCAUCUCAGCUCAUCAGAGCCCAGAGGAGCUUGGACAUCCUCCACUCCAUGUCCUUGUUUGGCCUUUCACAGGUGGGAAGUGGCAACCUUGGCCUUCAAGCAGUGUGCCUGAGCUCCUCCCUCAGCCUCUGCUCAAACCCUUUUUCCUCUGAAGAACCCGCACACAGCAAGCCCCACGCCUCCUCCUCCGGGAAGCUGCACUCUGAUCACUUCUGCCUGGGAGGUGCUGCUACGGGGCGUGGGGUUCUGGAAGCCCAGCUCCAGUGCCGGGGUUCCAUGACCCUGAGAUGAAACCUGCACUCCAGAUCGAAGCCUGCAGGAACAGGCCAGACAUGCGCUGUUUGUCUCCCUUCCCUCCUCCUCCUGCUUCCCACUCCCUUCCUGGUUUAUUCUGGGAGCACUUUCUUAAUAAAUCACUUGCUCAUGAAUCCUCAGCCAAGACCGCUUCUGGGAAAGCCGAUCCUCCUCGAGAGCUCCCCUGCAAAAGAGAUCGAUGCCUCCCAGGCCCGAGGCCUGCAGGUUCCUCCCCAGUGUGAAGAACAGUCUUGCCCUGAGGUCCCAUGACACCUUGGUGGGCCCUCUCUGAUGGUCUUCUGUUCCUGGAUCCUGGGACGUGGCUCCUCCUCUUGUCUCUGCCCACAGUUGAGACUUUGCACACAGACUUGUCCUGCCCCCAUUGGCUCUGCCCCCGCCUCACAGCCUCUCUGGGCCUCUGCAGCUCCAUCUGCGCAAUUGGGGUGCUGGCUCUGGCCCUGCGU